UAUAUCAUAUACUUUUAAAGUAGCUAUAUGUUGAGACCAACUUCUAUUUGAGUAAUAUAUGAUGAUGAAUAUAAUGAAAAAUAUUGUUGAAUUUACAGAAUAAAAUCUUGAUUAUUUUUAGUUAAAAUUAGCAUUGAACACAUGAUAUAAAGUAGCUAGUUUGACAAAAAUUCUUCUUAUUUAAUGUUUUAUAAGUCAUUUUCAAAGCAUAUAAAUAAGACAAUAGUUUGUUUAAAAUUUUUUUCUUUCUUCACUUUGGAGGGUAGAGUUUGGGAGAAUGCUCUCUUUUGAGUUCUUAAAUAUAGGUAUUGUUCCUCUCUAGACCCUCUCUGGUUUUCAACAAAUGCUGCGAUCAUCUACACUGAGAUUGGUCUUAUCUCUACCAUAUGUACCUGCAAGCUAAUACUUUUAAAGGAGGAAUACAUCAUCUUGCAAAAUACGUAAAUUGUAUAGCUGCCGUAUGGAUUUACAUUUCACCCCCUUCCUGUAACAUCUCUGCCAGGUCAGUAUAUCUGUAUAUGUAAGAAUGUUUGGCUGCAAUUCCAAAUCCCUAAUAUUGGAAGUAAUUUUGCCAAAGAACAUACUUUUA
rnacentral:lncRNA from 12 species